rnacentral:rRNA from 1 species
GAAUGGAGGUCCGCAGCGUAUUCUGACGUGCAAAUCGAUCGUCGGAGCUGGGUAUAGGGGCGAAAGACUAAUCGAACCAUCUAGUAGCUGGUUCCCUCCGAAGUUUCCCUCAGGAUAGCUGGCGCUCGCAGAAACGAGUCCCAUCCGGUAAAGCGAAUGAUUAGAGGCCUUGGGGUCGAAACGACCUCAACCUAUUCUCAAACUUUAAAUGGGUGGGAACCGCGGCUUGUUUGAACGUGAAGCCGCGGAUUCGGAUCGGAGUGCCCAGUGGGCCAUUUUUGGU